rnacentral:rRNA from 1 species
AUUGAACGCUGGCGGCAUGCCUUACACAUGCAAGUCGAACGGCAGCACGGGAGCAAUCCUGGUGGCGAGUGGCGAACGGGUGAGUAAUGUAUCGGAACGUGCCCAGUCGUGGGGGAUAACGUAGCGAAAGCUACGCUAAUACCGCAUACGAUCUAUGGAUGAAAGCGGGGGACCGUAAGGCCUCGCGCGAUUGGAGCGGCCGAUAUCAGAUUAGGUAGUUGGUGGGGUAGAGGCCUACCAAGCCGACGAUCUGUAGCUGGUCUGAGAGGACGAACAGCCACACUGGGACUGAGACACGGCCCAGACUCCUACGGGAGGCGGCAGUGGGGAAUUUUGGACAAUGGGCGCAAGCCUGAUCCAGCAAUGCCGCGUGCAGGAUGAAGGCCUUCGGGUUGUAAACUGCUUUUGUACGGAGCGAAAAGGCUCUCUCUAAUACAGGGGGCUCAUGACGGUACCGUAAGAAUAAGCACCGGCUAACUACGUGCCAGCCGCCGCGGUAACAC